rnacentral:lncRNA from 1 species
GUGACAGGGAGCAUGAACUAGAGGCCCAUUUUAGCGACCAGAUGCCCAAUUCCUCAUCUCUCCUAACUAGCGCCGUUUGAGAACCUUUCUCUCUCACUACCCACGAGCCCAGAGCCGUGAAAGCUAUCUCCUUCAUUUCCUCUCUCUCUUCGUUUCUCAUAGGACUGAAAUCCUAGCUUCUAUCUACAACCCAGAACGUCAAAACAUGAAUCCAGCUCCGUCUCUGUCAAAAAGGGAACCCAGCCAUGGCGAUCUUUGAUUCUAGCCCAGAUUGUCACCAUCGUGCAUUCCUCUACGAAACCCGAGGUAAAGAGCUCUCAUUCUCUCUGCGAUUAUGGUCUCCACUUGGCGAUAUCUGAAAUAAAAAUCCAUCCAACCAUUUUUCCCUUUCGUUUUCAUGACCGAAGAUGAAAUGAAAACGAAAUUCUGACUCAUGCAUGUAUGUUUUCUGUAUGCAGACUUGGGGAUCCGAGUAAGGCCAAGGGGGAAUAGGAACUGCAAGGAGCAAUGGCUCACACAUGGAGCUGCUGUACACACAGCAAAGAUGGCCUCGGAUCUACAAAAUGAAAGGUAGAUCAAAUCUGUUGGAAAUUCAAAUUAAAAGUCAUGUGAUCUGUCCAUGUGAUGCUAACCUUUCUUUACAGAUUGUUUCCAGCAAAAUAUAAUCAUCAUUGCUCCUUCAUUAUUCAGCCGAAUGGUGAUGAAAGACAGCAAGUGUGCUCCCAUGUGAUGUGCUAGCAGGAAGACAGCAGUGUGCUGCCAUGUGCUAGUCGAAUCUGUGUUAUUUGCAGCUGGAAAGACAGCUGCUGUGUGCUAGCCGAAUGUAGACAACCUGGAAUACAUUUGUUCUUUUCAUUUUCACGUUCCCAUGUGUUAAAGACAGCAGAUAUGCUGCUGUCUGUGUGCUGUCAUUUGAUGGUGUAAAGGUGUAGGUUGUCUUGUAUUUAAGGAAGCCUCUCGUAAGGCUUCAGUGUGCAUGAGAAAAAUCCCAUCUGAUUUGUCAUUCAGUUCUAGAAGUGUAUUUGCAAUCUGUUUUUAAUAUCAAAGUGCCUUGUUUCCCAAAGCUUGUAGCUUCACUCAUUUCUCUAUUUUUGUCCAAUUUUAUUGAGAGUGAAAGUGAGAGGUGUGAUAGAGUUUGUAAACUUAUCACCCACAUAUUUUGGUAUUAAGUUAGUAAUCUUCUCAAUACCAACAGUUGGUAUCAGAGCCAGAAUACCAUUCUGGCAGGUGCAGCAGUUAUGGCAUCCAACUUAGUGCAGCUCCAAGUUCCCACAUUGAAGAAAGAAAAUUAUGAAAGAUGGUGCAUCCAAUUCAAAGCAUUGUUUGGAUCACAAGAGCUAUGGGAAGUUGUCAGUAAUGGGUAUGUUGUACCCACUACCGAGCAAGAAGCCACAUAUACUGCAGAUCAAAGGAACACUCUCAAGGAUUUACGAAAGAAGGACCAGAAGGCGUUGUAUCUUCUCUAUCAAGGAUUAGAAGAUUCAACGUUCGAGAAGGUUGCAGAAGCAACAACGAGCAAGCAAGUAUGGGACACACUCAGUACAAUCUACAAAGGAGUAGAUCGAGUCAAGAAAGUGAGGUUACAGUCACUUCGAGCAGAUUUUGAAACUGCUCACAUGAAUGAAGGGGAAAGCAUCUCCGACUAUCACUCAAGGCUCAUUGUGAUAGUAAAUCAGAUGAGGAGAAAUGGCGAGAGACUCGAUGAAGUACGAGUUGUGGAGAAGAUACUCCGGUCACUCACAUCUAAGUUUGAGCAUGUGGUGACUGCCAUUGAGGAAUCCAAGAAUUUGGAGGCGAUGAGCGCAGAGGAGCUACUAGGAUCCCUCCUAGUUCACGAGCAACGCAUUCAGAAGAAUGCAAGCCCCACAACACUAGAGCAAGCUUUGGAGUCAAAAUUGAAAAUUGACAAACCAAAUAAAGGUCGUGGUCAGUGGAACUCACGUCGUGGGAGUUCAUCCAACCGUAGCCGAGGACGAGCCAGAGGAAGAGGUCGAGGCUAUGAACAAAACCGAGGUCAAUCUCAAGAGUGGAGAUCUACCCGAGGAAAGGCGCAUAUCCAAUGUCACACUUGCAAGCAAUAUGGACAUUAUGCCAAUGAAUGUUCACAUAAAAAUGGUGAGCAUGUCAACAUGGCAGAAUCAAGUGGAAAUACUGAUGAAGAACUUACAGUCUUGCUAGCACACCAUGAUUCCAGUAGCCAACAAGAUGUUUGGUAUUUGGACUCUGGUGCAAGCAAUCACAUGUGUGGAAAGAAGGAGUUUUUUGCCGAACUCAAAGAUGGGGCCUAUGGAUCUGUAAGUCUUGGUGACUCCUCAAAGUUGCCAGUUGAAGGCAAACAGAAGAUCAAGAUCAUCCAGAAGGAUGGUAGAGAAGAAUACAUCUCCGAUACCUACUACAUACCAGGUAUGAAGAGCAACAUUCUGAGCAUUGGUCAACUGCUCCAGAAAAGGUAUAUUAUACAUAUGGAGGAUAUGUUUCUCACUAUCAGGAAUGCAAGGAGAAAACUUAUUGCACGUGUUCAAAUGUCAAAGAACCGAAUGUUCCCGUUGAAGUUGAACACAAAGAUUGGGAGUUGCAACAUCGGUGUAAUGGAAGAUGAGUCAUGGAAAUGGCAUCUUCGAUUUGGCCAUCUUCAUUUCAAUGGCCUAAAGUUGCUGUCAAGUGGAGGAAUGGUUCGUGGUCUACCCCAAAUUGAAGCCACACGCCAAGUAUGUGAAGGUUGUGUGCUUGGCAAGCAAGCACGACUAUCGUUCCCUGUUGGUGAUACAUGGAGAGCAAAGGCACCACUGCAGUUGGUGCACACAAAUAUGUGGUCCAUUGGAUCCCAUGUCUUAUGGAGGUAAUAGGUAUUUUAUUACUUUCAUUGAUGAUUUUAGUAGGAAGACUUGGGUUUAUUUUCUCAAGGAGAAGUCGGCUGCCCUAAGAAUCUUCAAGGAGUUCAAGGCACUCACAGAGGCUGAAAGCAACCACAAGCUUGUGGCUGUGAGAUCAGAUAGAGGUGGAGAGUACACCUCCAAUGCUUUCCAAGCAUACUGCAAGGAGCAAUGAAUUAGGCAUCAACUGACUGCUGCCUAUACCCCACAGCAAAAUGGGAUAGCCGAAAGAAAGAAUCGAACCAUCCUUGACAUGACAAGGUCCAUGCUUAAGGAGAAGAAUUUGCCAAAAGAAUUAUGGGCAGAAGCUGUAGCUUGUUCAAUUUAUUUGUUGAAUCGAUGUCCAACAAAAAGUGUCAAGAGGAUGACACCACAAGAAACUUGGAGUGGAUACAAGCCGAGUGUUGCACACCUAAGAGUUUUUGGGUGUGUUGCAUAUGCUCAAGUUCCAGAAGCCAAGAGAAGGAAGCUUGAUGAUCGAGGUGAAAAGUGUGUGUUUGUGGGCUAUAGUGAAGAGUCCAAGGCAUACAAGCUCUACAACCCACUAACUGGCAAGCUAGUGGUUAGUAGAGAUGUCAUCUUCAGUGAGGAAGAGGCAUGGAAGUGGAACAACAAAGAAGUCAGUAAAGAGAAGAUCGUCUCCACUAAUUUUGAAGAACCAGAAGUUGUACCACCUGUUGAGCAACAACCUGCUCAAACAACCACAACAACUCCAUUGCACAGAACUGCAAGGAGUGGUCCUACAUCUAGUGAAGAAAGCAGCUCUUCAACUCCAGUGAGACUAAGAAGUCUCACCGAGAUAUAUGGACAAGAAGAAGAAGAAGAAACCAACCUUUUCUGCUUGUAUGCAGACCACGAGCCUCUCUCAUUCAAUGAAGCUGUGGAAGAAGAUCGUUGGAGAAUAGCCAUGGAGGAAGAAAUCCAUGCCAUCGAGAAGAAUGACACUUGGGAGUUGACAAAGCUCCCACCAAAUCAGAAGGCAAUUGGUGUCAAGUGGGUGUACAAGAUCAAACGCAUUGCAGAUGGGAGUGUGGAUCGGUACAAAUCAAGGCUUGUAGCAAAGGGCUACAAACAGAAGUAUGGAGUGGACUAUGAUGAAGUCUAUGCUCUAGUUGCAAGACUUGACACGGUAAGAUUACUAAUCUCUCUUGCCGCUCAUCAUAAAUGGAAAAUUUAUCAACUAGAUGUCAAGUCAGCCUUCCUUAAUGGAGUUCUUGAGGAAGAAGUGUACGUGGAACAACCGGAAGGCUUCCAAGUACAAGGAGAAGAAGAAAAGGUGUAUCGUUUGAAGAAGGCUUUGUAUGGCCUCAAGCAAGCACCACGAGCUUGGAACUCAAGGAUUGAUAACUACCUUCACCAAAAUGGAUUUCAGAAAUGUCCAUACGAGCAUUCAGUUUACAUGAAGAAUGGUGCAAAAGGGGAGUUCUUAAUUAUUUGUCUCUAUGUAGAUGACUUGUUAUUUACAGGAAACAAUGAAGCAAUGUUCUGUGAGUUCAAGCAAUCCAUGUUCAGUGAAUUCGAGAUGACUGACAAUGGAUUAAUGUCAUACUUUCUUGGCAUAGAGGUGAAGCAAGAAAGUGACGGUAUCUACAUCUCUCAACAAAAGUACAUGAGAGAUAUAUUGGAGAAAUUCAAUAUGGAUAAGUGCAAUAUUGUCAACACUCCAGUUGCAACUGGAUUGAAGCUGUCCAAGGAAGGAGAAGGUGAGUUUGUAAACUCAACCGUGUACAAAAGCUUGGUUGGAAGUCUAAGGUACCUUACAAUCACAAGACCUGAUAUAGUUUAUGGUGUUGGACUCGUGAGUCGGUACAUGGAAAUACCAAGGGAGUCUCAUUGGGUGGCUGCCAAGAGAAUCUUGAGGUACAUAAGAGGUACUCUAAACUAUGGUCUGUUUUAUAAUUUUGGUGAAGAUGCAAAAUUAUUUGGUUAUUCAGAUAGUGAUUGGGGAGGUGACCAAGAUGAAAGGAAAAGCACAACUGGCUAUGUGUUUUUUCUAGGAUCAACAGCUUUCUCAUGGACUUCAAAGAAGCAAUCAAUUGUUGCUUUGUCAUCAUGUGAAGCCGAGUAUGUUGCUGUAGCCUCAACAGUAUGUGAAGCAAUUUGGUUAAGAAAUCUAUUGAAGUCAGUGUGUCAUCCACAAGUGGAAUCGAUUGUGAUUCAUGUGGAUAACAUGUCUGCAAUCAAGCUUGCAAAGAAUCCUGUUCAACAUGGAAGGAGCAAGCACAUUGAUACCAGGUUCCAUUUUCUAAGGGACCAUGUGAAGCAAAAGACAAUUGAGCUUGUCUAUUGUCACACGAAGGAACAAGUGGCAGACAUCUUCACUAAGCCAUUACCAGUUGAAUCAUUCCGGCUGUUACGUGAAAUGCUAGGCAUGAAGGCGUUUUAAUUUGAGGGGCAUGUUGGAAAUUCAAAUUAAAAGUCAUGUGAUCUGUCCAUGUGAUGCUAACCUUUCUUUACAGAUUGUUUCCAGCAAAAUAUAAUCAUCAUUGCUCCUUCAUUAUUCAGCCGAAUGGUGAUGAAAGACAGCAAGUGUGCUGCCAUGUGAUGUGCUAGCAGGAAGACAGCAGUGUGCUGCCAUGUGCUAGUCGAAUCUGUGUUAUUUGCAGCUGGAAAGACAGCUGCUGUGUGCUAGCCGAAUGUAGACAACCUGGAAUACAUUUGGUCUUUUCAUUUUCACGUUCCCAUGUGUUAAAGACAGCAGAUAUGCUGCUGUCUGUGUGCUGUCAUUUGAUGGUGUAAAGGUGUAGGUUGUCUUGUAUUUAAGGAAGCCUCUCGUAAGGCUUCAGUGUGCAUGAGAAAAAUCCCAUCUGAUUUGUCAUUCAGUUCUAGAAGUGUAUUUGCAAUCUGUUUUUAAUAUCAAAGUGCCUUGUUUCCCAAAGCUUGUAGCUUCCCUCAUUUCUCUAUUUUGGUCCAAUUUUAUUGAGAGUGAAAGUGAGAGGUAUGAUAGAGUUUGUAAACUUAUCACCCACAUAUUUUGGUAUUGAGUUAGUAAUCUUCUCAAUACCAACAAAAUCCCUCCACUGCGUUAAAAUUAAGCAUGGUUUAGUAUCUCUGAAAAUCAUACGGAUUUGUGAAAUGUUUCUAUCAUGCAUUCGUACACCUAAAAAUUUCGUCAAUGCUCAUGUAAUUUUCUGUGUGGUUGCAUGCCUCCAUGUGACAAAUAUUGAGCAAAAACUGUGCAUGAUACUGGAUCUGUGACAUGGCUUUGAUGAAUGUCCACCUCUGUGUUGCCUGGACCACCCCCAAACUUAUACGUAAAACAAUAUUUUAAUGAAAUAUGAGAGUGAGUGAGCGAAAGGGAUUUCCAAGCAACACAGGGAUCUUCCCCGCAAUCCCCACUUUAAGUAUGACUGAACUCAGCCUCAAAUUCUUUUCUGCAUUCGUGUAGAUGAUGAAUGCUCAGAUAAAUGUUGAUGAAUGGAUGACCGAUGAAUGCAUAGUUUUGUAUCUUUAUUGUUUCGUUUAUAGAAGAGUAAGGUUUAUGUCUCCCAUCUUUUUCAUGUAUUUUUUGUUCUUUUUUCUUGUAUUACAAGGAGUUAGGUUUAUGUCCCCUGACUAGGUGUAACUUAUUUUUUGUUAUUAAUAAAAUUUCCCUCAUACCGUUGAGGUUUUAUGAAAAAAUAAAAUAAAAUAAGCAAUAAACUACUAUGGAACGCUUCCCAUUUUCAACCAGGGAUAAACCUUUCAACAUAGAGCAGAGAAUUCUAACAUAGGUUUGAAAUUUGAUGAAUACUUUCCACAACUUUGUUUUUUAAUUUUAAUUUUUAAUUCUUUCAGAGUGUUCGUCCUGUAAUGUUUGGCAAAGCUAGAAUGUCAUUGUUCAAGCAUAAUUCGAUGCAAAUAAGUUUGUUUGGCAAGCCUUGAUCAACUAGCCAUUUAUACUACAUUUUUUAUCUAACAAAUACGAGAACGCUUUCACAAAUCAUCAAUACUAUUACAUGCUAUACCACAUAUUAACAACAAGCUUCUAUUCACAUAUGCCAUUUGCUCGAAGUUUGUUUCUGAUCCGACACAUAUGUACCACAGCAUCACAGAUGUUCAAUCUUUCUCUAGGCACCUCCGCUGAGCAAGCAACACCAACUUCUAUUACAGAGAUUAAACUUUCUAUGAUUAGGACGUGAUUCCUUGCCCUCCCCUCAUUAGGAUGAUUGCUCUCUUGAACAAGAACGGGAUCCAAAACCUCUUCCACUUGCUCAGGCAGAGCUGCCUUCACAAAGCUAUAAAGGUUUGAAGUUCCCUGAAACAUGUCAUUAGUCGGUCUUUUUCCUGUAAAUAUUUCCAACAGGAGGAUGCCAAAGCUAUACACAUCACCUUGUGUCCACACUUCAUGCCCCAUGCCAUAUUCUGCAUUCCACAAUUCAGAACAUUAGAUUCUAAUUUUCUAGUGAAGUGCUAAAAGCUCAUUUCAUAUUUGAAAAUAUUAAAAUAAAUACUACAUAAUUUUAAAAUACUAGCUAGGAAAAAAAUAAACUACUAGGUGUAUAUACCUGGAGGAGCAUAACCAAUAGUUCCCUUGAUCCCUAAGGAACUUGACUGAUUUCCCAAAGAAUUUUCAGCAACUUUUGGUAAGAACCUCACCAACCCGAAGUCACCUACAUGUGCAAUCAUGUCCUCAUUGAGAAGAAUAUUGCUGGGUUUGAGGUCACAAUGAACUAUUGGUGUCUCACAAUGAUUAUGGAGAUAAUCCAAUGCCAUAGCAACAUCAAUAACAAUAUUCAACCUCUGAGAAAUUGUUAAGCUCCUUGGCCUUUCAUUUGUCUCACCAAUUGUAUGAAUUGGAUACAGCCAUUCCUCCAAGCUCCCAUUAACCAUGAACUCGUAAAUUAAGGCCUUGAAGUCGUGGCUGUGAUAAUCAAAACCAGAACAUGCCGAGAGUACCUUGACAAGAUUACGGUGUCUAAUAUUUUUGAAAGCCUCGCACUCAGCAAUAAAACUUUUGUAAGCUCCGUGACGAACUAGGUUGAGUACCUUGAUGGCAAUUGUAGUUUCUCCUUGCUCAAGUACUCCUUUAUAAACGGACCCAAAACUGCCCAUACCGACCAAGUUGGUUGAGGAGAAUCCAUUUGUUGCUUUAAGAAGACUUUGGUAAGACACCUGGGGAAAUUUGUCCGAAUCACUUGCAGCGCGAUCCUUUUUGUCCCUCCGUGAGCAAUAAAGGUACAAAUAGGUUAGUGCAAAAAUGACUCCAAGAAUCCCACAAACGAGGGAGAGAACCAAUUUUAUGGUUAAGCUCAAUCCUUCCUUUUUUGCAUGCUGGAGUUUGCACUUUGGCAAAUGAAACUCAGGUAUGCCCCCACAAAGCUUACUAUUUCCUUCAACUGAUGUCGCCGUUGCAUUCUUGAACACUCCUUUGAUCGGCACCAUGCCCUCAAAAUUAUUAUAAGAUAGAUUCAAAGAUUGCAAAAGUUUAAAACUUUCUAAGAAUUCUGGAAUGGUGCCUGACAAGUUGUUGUGAGAAAGAAACAAUUCUGAAAGACCUCUUAGUGAACUCAAAGUUGAUGGAAUCGUCCCAUGGAAGAAAUUUCCAUGCAUGUAUAGGUACUCUAAUGUUAUACAGCUAGCAAGACUUGCUGGAAUUUCACCUAGUAACAUGUUUUCAGAAAUAUCUAAAUACUGAAGAUUUAUUAAAAUUCCUAUGUUCUCUGGCAG